rnacentral:rRNA from 1 species
UACGUAGGGUGCGAGCGUUAAUCGGAAUUACUGGGCGUAAAGCGUGCGCAGGCUGUUCUGUAAGUCAGAUGUGAAAUCCCCGAGCUCAACUUGGGAACUGCGUUUGAAACUACAGGACUAGAAUAUGUCAGAGGGGGGUAGAAUUCCACGUGUAGCAGUGAAAUGCGUAGAGAUGUGGAGGAACACCGAUGGCGAAGGCAGCCCCCUGGGUCAAGAUUGACGCUCAUGCACGAAAGCGUGGGGAGCAAACAGG